UGGAAGGCAGUUAUGGGUGCCGGCCUGACCACGCCCCUCUAGGUAAUCGCUUUCACUUGCGUUCUGGUUAGGAUGAGUAUAUAUAAAGGCUGAAGGUAAGGCGACCGGAUGUCACGCUCAGCUGUUUGCAUUUUUGUCAGUAUUGCAUUGCUGUCACACGAGAGGUAUGUACUGGCGGUCAUUAUGCUUGGUCCUAUUAUUUGGUUUUAAUCAUUCUAAUAGUUGUUUUCCGUUUAGUAUAAGCUCUUGUGAAGUUGGUAUCUGUACCGCAGCAUUCUCUAUUAGAGGAUCGCAAACUUUUAGUCUCUGGUGAUUUACGUGGCAUUCCUUGAAUCGGGAGAUUGCAGGCUCAGCUGUGCUGCAGUUCCGAUAGCUUGUUUCCACACAAAAGCUCUCUUAGGCUGGCAUUUGUUGCCGUGGUGUCCUCGGCAUCUGAGCAUUACGAACGAUUGGUUCAUUUUGUAUUAGGGAAUCGCGGUGUAAUUGAGGCGUGUGCUUUUGAUCUGCGGCUUCUGUCACAAGUGGUUGAUGGGGGCGACGGAUUCGGCCGCGGAGUAUAUGCUGUGACCCAUGCAGGCUGGUGUUUGAGUUACCCGGCAUCAUGGCUUAAGGUCCUAACACUGCUGUUUUGCUUUUUGUUUAUUUUGGAUUCUUUUGUUUAGUUUAUUUCGUUUAGGUUAGUAAUUUGUGUAUUAGCUUAUCUUUGUCUCUUUUUUUUGUGUGAUAUUUAAUAUUUUCUUGGUUUCUUUUCGUUUGCU